CUGGCUCAGGAUGAACGCUAGCGACAGGCUAACACAUGCAAGUCGAGGGGCAUCACGGGAGUAGCAAUACAACGUGGUGGCGACCGGCGCACGGGUGAGUAACGCGUAUGCAACCUACCUAUCAGAGGGGAAUAACCCGGCGAAAGUCGGACUAAUACCGCAUAAAACAGGGGCACCGCAUGGUGAUAUUGUUAAAGAAAUUCGCUGAUAGAUGGGCAUGCGUUCCAUUAGGUAGUUGGUGAGGUAACGGCUCACCAAGCCGACGAUGGAUAGGGAACUGAGAGGUUGGUCCCCCACACUGGUACUGAGACACGGACCAGACUCCUACGGGAGGCAGCAGUGAGGAAUAUUGGUCAAUGGGCGGGAGCCUGAACCAGCCAAGUCGCGUGAAGGAAGAAGGAUCUAUGGUUCGUAAACUUCUUUUGCAGGGGAAUAAAGUGCAGGACGUGUCCUGUUUUGUAUGUACCCUGAGAAUAAGGAUCGGCUAACUCCGUGCCAGCCGCCGC
rnacentral:rRNA from 1 species